GAUGAAGAACGCAGUGAAAUGCGAUAAGUAAUGUGAAUUGCAGAAUUCAGUGAAUCAUCGAAUCUUUGAACGCACAUUGCGCCCGCCAGUAUUCUGGCGGGCAUGCCUGUCCGAGCGUCAUUUCAACCCUCGGGACCCUUCGGGGAACCGGUGUUGGGGACCCGUCCGCCGACCCACGGCGGCCGGCCCCGAAAUACAGUGGCGGCCCUGCGGCGACCUCCUCUGCGUAGUAGCGAUACCUCGCAGCUGGAAAGCGGCAGCGGCCACGCCGUAAAACCCCCACUUCUAUGGUUGACCUCGGAUCAGGUAGGAAUACCCGCUGAACUUAAGCAUAUCAAUAAGCGGAGGA
rnacentral:misc_RNA from 1 species